GAUGAACGCUGGCGGCGUGCCUAAUACAUGCAAGUCGAGCGAACAGACGAGGAGCUUGCUCCUCUGACGUUAGCGGCGGACGGGUGAGUAACACGUGGAUAACCUACCUAUAAGACUGGGAUAACUUCGGGAAACCGGAGCUAAUACCGGAUAAUAUAUUGAACCGCAUGGUUCAAUAGUGAAAGACGGUUUUGCUGUCACUUAUAGAUGGAUCCGCGCCGCAGUAGCUAGUUGGUAAGGUAACGGCUUACCAAGGCGACGAUGCGUAGCCGACCUGAGAGGGUGAUCGGCCACACUGGAACUGAGACACGGUCCAGACUCCUACGGGAGGCAGCAGUAGGGAAUCUUCCGCAAUGGGCGAAAGCCUGACGGAGCAACGCCGCGUGAGUGAUGAAGGUCUUCGGAUCGUAAAACUCUGUUAUUAGGGAAGAACAAAUGUGUAAGUAACUAUGCACGUCUUGACGGUACCUAAUGAGAAAGCCACGGCUAACUACGUG
rnacentral:rRNA from 1 species